AUGGCGCUCACCACCCGCAGAGGCGGCGGCGCCGACCAAGCGAGCCUCGGCUUCCUCACGAACCGCGACACGGAGGUCAGGCUCCCCCGCGCGACGCGGGUGAAGAACAAGGCGCCGGCGGGGGUCCAGAUCACCGCCGAGCAGAUCCUCCGCGAGGCCCGGGAGCGGCAGGAGCCCGAGAUCCGCCCGCCCAGGCAGAGGAUAACCGACUUCGACGAGCUCCGCGAGCGCAAGCGAUUCGAAGGCCUCGUCACUCGCGGCGGCGUCCCGGCGUGGGUCAAGUAUGCCCGGUGGGAGGAGGGGCAGGGGGACCUCGCCCGGGCUCGCUCCGUCUACGAGCGCGCCCUGGACCUGGACGCCGCCCGCCGCGACCACGCGAUGUGGCUCAAGUACGCCGAGUUCGAGAUGCGCAGCCGCUGCGUCAACCACGCGAGGAACGUCUGGGACCGCGCCGUCUCGCUCCUCCCCCGCGUCGACCAGCUGUGGCACAAGUACAUCCACAUGGAGGAGCUGCUUGGCGCCGUCGCCAGUGCUCGCCAGCUCUUUGAGCGCUGGAUGGCAUGGCGUCCCGACAUUGCUGCCUGGAACUCGUACAUCAAGUUCGAGCUGCGGUAUGGGGAGGUUGAGCGUGCAAGGGCGAUCUAUGAGAGGUUUGUCGCCGAGCACCCACGGCCCGACACGUUUGUCCGAUACGCCAAGUUUGAGAUGAAACAUGGAGGAGCAGAGCGGGCACGUCGCGUGUACGAGCAUGCAUCGGAACUGCUUGUGGACGAUGAAGACGCAGAGGUGUUGUUUGUAGCUUUUGCUGAGUUUGAGGAAAAUCGCCCGGAGGUGGAGCGCACUCGUGCAAUAUACAAGUAUGCGCUUGACAGAGUGCCGAAGGGCAAGGCUGAGGACCUUUACAGGAAGUUCCUGGCAUUUGAGAAACGAUGUGGUGACCGUGAGGGGAUUGACGAUGCCAUUGUGGGCAAGCAGAGGUUCCAAUAUGAAGAUGAGGUGAGGAGGAACCCGCUCAAUUACGACUCAUGGUUCGAUUACAUCAGGCUGGAGGAGAGCGCCGGUAAUAAGGACAGGAUCAGGGAUGUGUACGAGAGGGCUAUCGCAAAUGUCCCCCCUGCACAAGAGAAGCGGUACUGGCAGAGGUAUAUAUACCUUUGGAUAAACUAUGCUUUCUAUGAGGAACUUGAUGCACAGGACAUGGAGAGGACCCGGGAGGUCUAA
rnacentral:rRNA from 1 species